UGUUAAUAAUUUAUAUAUAAUAUUUUAUUAAUAUUUAUAUAGUAUUAACAUAAUUCAUAUUACUAUUUUAUAGUAUAUGAAAUUUUACUUUGAGAAAAUUAGAGUGCUUAAAGCAGGCAUUAGCCUUGAAUACUCCAGCAUGGAAUAAUAUAAAAGAUUUUUAUCUUUUUUAUUGGUUCUAAGAUAAAAAUAAUGAUUAAUAGGGACAGUUGGGGGCAUUUGUAUUUAACAGUCAGAGGCGAAAUUCUUAGAUUUGUUAAAGACAAACUAGUGCGAAAGCAUUUGCCAAGGAUGUUUUCAUUAAUCAAGAACGAAAGCUAGGGGAUCGAAGACGAUCAGAUACCGUCGUAGUCUUAACCAUAAACUAUGCCAACUAGAGAUUGGAGGUUGUU
rnacentral:rRNA from 1 species